rnacentral:lncRNA from 1 species
CUUCAGGAUAGUGCUGCUUAUUUGACUGUUGUUGUCAUGAACAGGAGUGCUUGAUUGACAGCUCAUUUCAAAUCAUUCCUGUGAGAGAAGGGGUGUAAUAUCUCCAGAUGGGCAUGUGGUACCCUUCCUUACCCAUGCCAACAAGAUGUUACUCUUGUGGGGUAUUUGCCUUGACAUUUGCUGAAUGUGUUCUGAAAGAGGAGUCGAUUGUCUUUUCAAAUACGGACAAAGAUGUUAACAUCAUGAGAGAAGAAAUAGCAGUCACUCUCCUCCAAAACACUGGUAUGUUCAAUUUCUAAAUGUAAUAUAAUUGUAGAUAAAACAAAAAACAUUUAUAUGGAUCUUUCAAGGUUGUCUUUGAUCCAACUUCUGAUUCGAUGGCCACUAAAACACAUGUAUUUAAAUAAUUUUGUUACAAGAAACCUAUACUAUUCCCUUGUUCCCUGUUCGCUCAAAAAAAUGCAUGUAAAGAUGUAUAAACUACUUUAUUAUGUUUUGCUAGAUGACCUGUGCUAACUGUGCCACUUCUGUGGGGAGGUGGACAAUAAUGAGGAAGACACUAACAGGGUGAUUCCUUGUUCACUUCUAAAGGCACAUUUUUACGAGUACGAAUUUGUAUAAGCAGUAAUGUUUCUAGAGGUAGUAUUAUCUGCUUUGUCUGAUAAUGAAUUAAUUGUAAUUCAAUAAAAUGUUUUUAAUGUUUUAAAUAUAUUAACAUUUUUCAUCAUAAAUUUCAGAUUGGUUGUGACUGCUGCCCACGAUGGUUCCACCAGUCCUGUAUGAAAACCAUCCCAUCAUUGGAGGAUUAUGUCUGUGCUGCCUGUCAGGACUAGGUUAGGGUUGAGUUCCAGGCGACGAUAUCACCUGGAAAACUUUCCAUAAAAAGUGGACUAAAUGUUCAGUCGAGCUGUUGCAGCUUUCCAAUUUGUUUAUGUUAUUUAUUGUCUUUUUAUAUUUCAUUUAUUGUCAUUUUAUAUGUUAUUAUGGAAAUAUGAAAAUUUGUAUUUCCUAUUUAAUGGUUGUUAACAAACGUAACUUUCUGUAAUGUUUUUGUGUUAUCGUGUGAUAAUAUUUGUGUAUUAUCUUUAUUUUCUUAAACAUUACAAAAUGUUUCUAAAAUAAAUGUUUUUUCUUUAUACUCUUUCUGUGGCACACACUACUGCUCAACAGGAGCUACCAAAAUGAUUAUGAAGUGUGCCAGGCCUUGCAGUCCCAAAAUAGAAGGGGGAGAGAAUUUCGGCAGGCAAGAAAAUAGCCUUGCUGAAGAAUUUGGCAUAACAUCCAACUAGCCUCACAACCGCAGACCACGUGUAACCACGUCAGCCCAGGACCUCCACAUCCGGCUUAUUCACCUUCGGGAUCGUCUGAGACCAGCCACCCGGAGCGCUGAUGAAACUGUGGGUUUGCACAACUGAAGAAUUUCAGCACAAACUGUCAGAAACUGUCUCAGGGAAACUCAUCUGUGUGCUUGUUGUCCUCACCAGGGUCGGUGUCAUAACCAACUUUAGUGGGUUGAUGCUCACCUUCGAUGGCCAGUGGCAUGUUGGAGAAGUGUGCUCUUCACAGAUUUAUCCGGGCAGUAUGGCAUCGUGUGGGCAAGUGGUUUGCUGAUGUCAACGUUGUGAACAGAGUGCCCAAUGGUGACAGUGGGGUUAUGGUAUGGCCGGCAUAAACUAAGGACAGGGAACACAAUUGCCUUUUAUCGAUGGCAAUUUCAAUGCACAGAGAUACCGUGAUGAGAUCCUGAGGCCCAUUGUCGUGCCAUUCACCUCAUGUUUCAGCAUAAUAUGGCACAACCCCAUGUCUCAAGGAGCUGUACACAAUUCCUGGAAGCUGAAAAUGUCUCAGUUCUUCCAUGGCCUGCAUACUCACAGACAUGUCACCCAUUGAGCAUGUUUGGGAUGCUCUGGAUCGAUGUUUACAACAGCGUGUUCCGGUUCCCGCCAAUAUCCAGCAACUUCACACAGCCAUUGAAAAGGAGCGGAACAUUCCACAGGCCACAAUCAACAGCCUGAUCAACUCUAUAAAAAGGAGCUGUGUAACGCUGUGUGAGGCAAAUGGUGGUCACACCAGACACUGACUGGUUUUCUGAUACAUACCCGUACCUUUUUUUAAAGGUACCUGUGACCAACAGACACAUGUCUGUAUUCCCAGUCAUGUGAAAUCCAUAGAUUAGGGCCCAAUGAAUUUAUCUCAAUUGACUGAUUUCCUUAUAUGAACUGUAACUCAGUAAAAUCUUUGAAACUGUUGCAUGUUGCAUUUAUAUUUUUGUUCAGUGUAUAUUGCACAGUGAGGAGAAAUUCAACAGUGGACAUAGUUCUUCUCCC